rnacentral:rRNA from 1 species
GAUGAACGCUGGCGGCGUGCCUAAUACAUGCAAGUCGAGCGAACAGACGAGGAGCUUGCUCCUCUGACGUUAGCGGCGGACGGGUGAGUAACACGUGGAUAACCUACCUAUCAGUCUGGGAUAACUUCGGGAAACCGGCGCUAAUACCGGAUAAUCUAUUGAACCGCAGGGUUCAAUAGUGAGAGACGGUUUUUCUGUGUGGUGUAGAUGGAUCCGCGCCUCAUUAGCUGGUUGGUAGGGUAACGGCUUACCACGGCAACGAUGGGUAGCCGGCGUGAGAGGGUGACAGGCCACAGUGGGACGGAGAUACGGCCCAGACGGCUACGGGAGGCAGCAGUGGGGAAUAUUGCACAAUGGGCGGAAGCAGGAUGCAGCAAAGCCGCGAGCGGGAUGACGGCCUUCGGGUUGUAAACCGCUUUGGCCUGUGACGAAGCGUGAGUGACGGUAAUGGGUAAAGAAGCACCGGCUAACUACGUG